rnacentral:rRNA from 1 species
CAGUCGCCACGGUAAUACAGAGGGUGCGAGCGUUAAUCGGAUUUACUGGGCGUAGAGCGUGCGUAGGCGGCUUUUUAAGUCGGAUGUGAAAUCCCCGAGCUUAACUUGGGAAUUGCAUUCGAUACUGGGAAGCUAGAGUAUGGGAGAGGAUGGUAGAAUUCCAGGUGUAGCGGUGAAAUGCGUAGAGAUCUGGAGGAAUACCGAUGGCGAAGGCAGCCAUCUGGCCUAAUACUGACGCUGAGGUACGAAAGCAUGGGGAGCAAACAGGAUUAGAUACCCCCGUAGUCCCUGUCUCUUAUAC